rnacentral:ncRNA from 21 species
GUGAGAGAAUCGGGCCCGCGUCCAUCGACGAGGAAUCCGGUGCGAACCCGGAGCGGUCCCGCCACUGUGACCCCGCACGGGGAAGCCAGACACUCGGGUGGAGAUAUCGGCGCACU